UACGGAGGGUGCGAGCGUUGUCCGGAAUCACUGGGCGUAAAGGGCGCGUAGGCGGCCUGGCAAGUCGGUGGUGAAAGCUCGGAGCUCAACUCCGAGUCGGCCAUCGAUACUGCUAUGGCUCGAGUCGACUAGAGGCAGAUGGAAUUCCGGGUGUAGCGGUGGAAUGCGGUAGAGAAUCCGGAAGAACACCGGUGGGCGAAGGCGGCUACCUGGACAGAGUCUGA
rnacentral:rRNA from 1 species